GGGCGGGUCUAGGUAUAAGGCACUCUUGUACCGUGAAACUGCGAAUGGCUCAUUAAAUCAGUUAUCGUUUAUUUGAUAGUACCCUACUACAUGGAUACCUGUGGUAAUUCUAGAGCUAAUACAUGCGCCAAACCCCGACUUCGGAAGGGGUGUAUUUAUUAGAUAAAAAACCAAUGCCCCUCGGGGCUCCUUGGUGAUUCAUAAUAACUUCACGAAUCGCAUGGCCUUGCGCCGGCGAUGGUUCAUUCAAAUUUCUGCCCUAUCAACUUUCGAUGGUAGGAUAGUGGCCUACCAUGGUGGCAACGGGUAACGGGGAAUUAGGGUUCGAUUCCGGAGAGGGAGCCUGAGAAACGGCUACCACAUCCAAGGAAGGCAGCAGGCGCGCAAAUUACCCAAUCCCGAUACGGGGAGGUAGUGACAAUAAAUACUGAUACAGGGCUCUUUUGGGUCUUGUAAUUGGAAUGAGAACAAUCUAAACCCCUUAACGAGGAACAAUUGGAGGGCAAGUCUGGUGCCAGCAGCCGCGGUAAUUCCAGCUCCAAUAGCGUAUAUUAAAGUUGUUGCAGUUAAAAAGCUCGUAGUUGAACCUUGGGCCCGUCCUGCCGGUCCGCCUCACCGCGAGUACUGGUCCGGAUGGGCCUUUCUUUCUGGGGAAUCCCAUGGCCUUCACUGGCUGUGGCGGGGAACCAGGACUUUUACUGUGAAAAAAUUAGAGUGUUCAAAGCAGGCCUUUGCUCGGAUACAUUAGCAUGGAAUAAUAGAAUAGGACGUGCGGUUCUAUUUUGUUGGUUUCUAGGACCGCCGUAAUGAUUAAUAGGGAUAGUCGGGGGCGUCAGUAUUCAGCUGUCAGAGGUGAAAUUCUUGGAUUUGCUGAAGACUAACUACUGCGGAAAGCAUUCGCCAAAGGAUGUUUUCAUUAAUCAGGGAACGAAAGUUAGGGGAUCGGAAGACGAUCAGAUACCGUCGUAGUCUUAACCAUAAACUAUGCCGACUAGGGAUCGGGCGGGGUUUUUAUGAUGACCCGCUCGGGACCUUACAAGAAUCAAAA
rnacentral:rRNA from 1 species